rnacentral:rRNA from 1 species
UGAGUGGCGGACGGGUGAGUAACGCGUGGGCAACCUGCCCUGUACAGGGGGACAACACUUAGAAAUAGGUGCUAAUACCGCAUAACGGGGGGAGCCGCAUGGCACCCCCUGAAAACUCCGGUGGUACAGGAUGGGCCCGCGUCUGAUUAGGUAGUUGGUGAGGUAACGGCUCACCAAGCCGACGAUCAGUAGCCGACCUGAGAGGGUGACCGGCCACAUUGGGACUGAGACACGGCCCAGACUCCUACGGAAGGCAGCAG